rfam:Pseudomassariella vexata strain CBS 129021 BCR38scaffold_6, whole genome shotgun sequence.
UCCCAAUUGGUGUAGUGGUGAGCAUGCUAGAUUCUCAUUCUGGAGACCAGGGUUCAAUUCCCUGAUUGGGAA